AGCGAACGCUGGCGGCAGGCUUAACACAUGCAAGUCGAGCGCCCGUAGCAAUACGGAGCGGCAGACGGGAGAGUAACACGUGGGACAUGCCCUUCGGUUCGGAAUAACUCAGGGAAACUUGAGCUAAUACCGGAUACGUCCGUAAGGAGAAAGAUUUAUCGCCGAAGGAUUGGCCCGCGUCCGAUUAGCUUGUUGGUGAGGUAAUGGCUCACCAAGGCGACGAUCGGUAGCUGGCUGAGAGGAUGAUCAGCCU
rnacentral:rRNA from 1 species